rnacentral:rRNA from 1 species
UACAGAGGUCUCAAGCGUUGUUCGGAUUCACUGGGCGUAAAGCGCAAGUAGGCGGUUGUGAAAGUCCGUUGUUAAAGCCCCUGGCUCAACUGGGGGAGGUCAAUGGAGACUUUAUGACUUGAGGGCAACAGAGGCAUGUGGAACUCCCGGUGUAGCGGUGGAAUGCGUAGAGAUCGGGAAGAACACCUAUGGCGAAAGCAGCUCUCUGGGACGGUACUGACGCUGAGACGCGAAAGCGUGGGGAGCGAACAGG